AUCUCUUGGUUCUGGCAUCGAUGAAGAACGCAGCGAAAUGCGAUAAGUAAUGUGAAUUGCAGAAUUCAGUGAAUCAUCGAAUCUUUGAACGCACAUUGCGCCCCCUGGCAUUCCGGGGGGCAUGCCUGUUCGAGCGUCAUU
rnacentral:rRNA from 7 species